rnacentral:rRNA from 1 species
UACAGAGGGUGCGAGCGUUGUUCGGAAUUACUGGGCGUAAAGCGCGCGCAGGCGGCCCUUUAAGUCUACCCGUGAAAUGCCGGAGCUCAACUCCGUGCACGCCGGGGGAUACUGGAGGGCUGGAGACGAGUAGAGGCAAGCGGAAUUCCGGGUGUAGCGGUGGAAUGCGUAGAGAUCCGGAAGAACACCCGUGGCGAAGGCGGUUCUCUGGGACGGUACUGACGCUGAGACGCGAAAGCGUGGGGAGCGAACAGG